GAUGAACGCUAGCGAAGGCUUAACACAUGCAAGUCGAGGGACCGGCGGAUGGGUGCGUAACGCGUAUGCAACUUGCCUCACAGAGGAGAAUAACUCGGAGAAAUCCGGACUAAUGCUACAUACUGUGAGAUAGGCAUGCGUCCUAUUAGGUAGUUGGUGAGGUAACGGCUCACCAAGCCGACGAUAGGAAGGGGUGCUGAGAGGCAGAUCCCCGACAUUGGGACUGAGACCCGGCCCAAACGCCUACGGAAGGCAGCAGUGAGGAAUAUUGGUCAAGGGAGUAAAAUCUGAACCAGCCAAGUCGCUUGAAGGAAGAAUGUCUAAGGAUUGUAAACUUCUUUAGCGGGAAGGUCGGUAGCUCGAGAAUAAGUAUCGGCUAACUCCGUGCCAGCAGCCGCGGUAAUUC
rnacentral:rRNA from 1 species